rnacentral:rRNA from 1 species
GACGAACGCUGGCGGCGUGCCUAAUACAUGCAAGUCGAACGCUUCUUUCCUCCCGAGUGCUUGCACUCAAUUGGAAAGAGGAGUGGCGGACGGGUGAGUAACACGUGGGUAACCUACCCAUCAGAGGGGGAUAACACUUGGAAACAGGUGCUAAUACCGCAUAACAGUUUAUGCCGCAUGGCAUAAGAGUGAAAGGCGCUUUCGGGUGUCGCUGAUGGAUGGACCCGCGGUGCAUUAGCUAGUUGGUGAGGUAACGGCUCACCAAGGCCACGAUGCAUAGCCCGCCUGAGAGGGGGAUCGGCCACCCGGGGGAGUAGACGCGCCCCAGACUCCUAGGGGAGGCAGCAGUAGGGAAUCUUCGGCAAGGGACGAAAGUCUGACCGAGCAACGCCGCGGGAGUGAAGAAGGUUUUCGGAUCGUAAAACUCUGUUUUUAGAGAAGAACAAGGACGUUAAUAACUGAACGUCCCCUGGCGGUAUCAAACCAAAAAGCCGCGGCAAACUACUU